GAAAUUAAACAGUGAUGUCGACAGACUAAGAGAAGUCAUGAGCCAAAUGGACUUAACGGAUAUUUAUAGAACAUUCUAUCCUAAAGCAAAAGGAUAUACCUUCUUCUCAGCUCCUCAUGGUACUUUCUCCAAAAUUGACCAUAUAAUUGGUCAAAAAAACGGGCCUCAACAGGUACAGAAAGAUAGAAAUAAUCCCAUGCGUGCUAUCGGACCACCACGGCCUAAAACUGGUCUUCAAUAACAAUAAGGGAAGAAUGCCCACAUAUACGUGGAAAUUGAACAAUGCUCUACUCAAUGAUAACCUGGUCAAGGAAGAAAUAAAGAAAGAAAUUAAAAACUUUUUAGAAUUUAAUGAAAAUGAAGAUACAACAUACCCAAACUUAUGGGACACAAUGAAAGCUGUGCUAAGAGGAAAACUCAUAGCGCUGAGUGCCUGCAGAAAGAAACAGGAAAGAGCAUAUGUCAGCAGCUUGACAGCACACCUAAAAGCUCUAGAACAAAAAGAAGCAAA
rnacentral:lncRNA from 1 species